CCCAAAACAUAAAUUAACCUGCCUAUUUCUGCGGAAAGGCUAUGAAAAGCUGGGGAUUCUUGACCCUGAUGGAGUUCCGGAGUCGAUGAGAGCACAUUCGGGGAUCGAUAUAGCCCCAUUAGAUCGAUCGCUACCUGCCAAUCCAGCAGGUAGUCUGGACGUAUCCUGACAGUAGCAGGCGGAGUCGACAGGAGAGUGUCAGCCAUCGACUUACCAUAGUGAAGACACCACGAAUAGCCCUGUGAUAUAACCGGUCUGAAGCACCUGAGCUGUCUGGAGGAUAACUGGCCUGGAAGAAGUUGCACUCAUUCUAAUCCUCAAGACCUCUGCGGCAAUCUCUGCCAAUGUUCACUUUCUCUCUCAUUUCACAUGUGCUUCCUUUCUGUUUUUUUACCUUUUCCACUGAAAUAAACUUUU